AUGAUACCGGCUUGUUCGUUCUUUCUCAUUCUCAGGAGACUUAAUAGUCCUGGAGGGAUGAGCAGGGGCAUCUGGAACGACUGUCUGAACCAUCAGUUAGCCCUUGGUUUUGGGCCUGCUGUCUCUCUUGCCGUUAUCAAAGGAUUGCCCCAAGCAGAUGCUUUGCCUCUGGACUUUUUUGCAGAAGUUUUUCUUGCCCCAUAUAAAUAAACUGAGUCCCGGCUGCUCCGC
rnacentral:lncRNA from 1 species